UGUUAUUUACUUGACAGAUUCUGCCUAGUAAUUGUCUAAGAUACAGAUGAAAAUUGAUCACUAAUGAAGACCGUUAACUCAAAACCUGGCCAUAUCUCGUAUAACAAGGGUAUGUCUGAGCUCUUCUGCUCAACCUCCUUCCAGCUCUCUAUUUCCCAGUCUUCAUGAUGGGUAUCAAGAAAAGAGAAAAUAAGAAAGACUUGGCAUUUGAGUUUUGAAGGUUAGAGCUACAUAUUUGGUGAUCAAGAGCUCUCAAACUGCACCUGGAUACUAAUUCUGAAUGGAAGCUUACAAUUGUAAGAAUGUAAGACAUCAGACCCUAAAGAACCAAAGUUGUUAUUUCUGUGGAAGACCAGCCAACCUAUUCUUACAGCUGAAACAAGGAAUCUGGCCUGCAAACAAUGUGUUAAGGCAUUCUCCAAGUUUCAAAACAAGAGUACACCAUUUUGAAGGCCUAUAAAUAGAAAGAAUUUUUCAAAUAUUAAUUCAGUAAUGACCUCUGUCUUUGGAAAAGAUAAUUGCAAUGUGUUACUGUGAACCAAUUUAAACCUGUAUUUCUCAUUGCAUUUAAUAUUUAAUUUUACUUUUUAUCAUUAUAUAUCAACAGUUCUUUCUGGAGCAAAGCAAUCUUAUUUGACUUUUUUUUUUAACCUUAUAGUGCACACACACGUAUGUGCAGGGUUAUUUAAACGAGGAAACAUUUACAUCAAAAUGUGCAAAGAGUUAUCCUGGAAUAGAAAUGCUGAAAAUAUAUUUUCAAGAAGUUUUAAAAUUCUAGGCUGGCCUCAAUGUAUUCAGUAGCAUGUCAGAAACAGAAAAAAGUUUAAUCUCUCCAUUUGCUUAUUCCUAUUAACAUACAUAGAAAAAAAAGUUGCUCUAAACCUAAUGCCUAUGCAAUAUGUUUGUUUCCUGAUGCCGAUGGUAAAUCAUAACUGGGCACUUGGUUAUAUUUUUUAAUGUUCUACAUUUCUAGCACUGCUACUGUGUUCACAACGAGCUUUAUAUCUGACAGUAAUUUUAUUUUCAGGUUCAGUCAUAUGAUGCCUUUCUAUAGGAAUAGGUUCUAUCACAGGAGCAAAUUAUUUGAAUCUAGUUUAACAGACUCAGCAAUUCACCUCAGUUUUAUCUUGGGCAUUUUGUAUUCCUUUGCCUAAACCUAGUGGCUAUGUAACAAUUCAAUUACCAAAGUCCUUCAUCCAGAAAGUGCCGUUGAUUUCCAGUAAUUCUUAUUCUGUUUGAUGUCUUUUUUUUUCCUCCUAGUUUAACACAUGGCAGCUGGUGUUGACUGAGUUUAAAAUCUUGAAAUAAGCCUGGCACUGUGUCAGUACAUAGGUUAAAAAAUGAAACAAAAAUAUUUAAUAAAAUAUACAAUAGAAAUGGAAAA